GGUGACCUCGAUCAGUAGAAUACCUGCUGAACUUAAGCAUAUCAAUAAGCGGAGGAAAAGAAACCAACAGGGACUGCCUCAGUAACGGCGAGUGAAGCGGCAACAGCUCAAAUUUGAAAUCUGGCCUCUUUGGGGUCCGAGUUGUAAUUUGUAGAGGAUGUUUCGGGUACCGCCUCGGUCUAAAUUUCUUGGAACAGAAUGUCAGAGAGGGUGAGAAUCCCGUCUUGGACCGGCGUAGGGCUCAUGUGAAACUCCUUCGACGAGUCGAGUUGUUU
rnacentral:rRNA from 1 species